GUAGGAAUCUGCCUGAUAGUGGGGGAUAGCCCGAAGAAAUUCGGAUUAAUACCGCAUAAUCUAUUCGUAGUAAAGUGGGGGACUUUUAAGCCUCACGCUAUCAGAUGAGCCUGCGUAAGAUUAGCUAGUUGGUAGGGUAAAAGCCUACCAAGGCAACGAUCUUUAGCUGGUCUGAGAGGAUGAUCAGCCACAUCGGGACUGAGACACGGCCCGAACUCCUACGGGAGGCAGCAGUGGGGAAUAUUGGACAAUGGGGGCAACCCUGAUCCAGCAAUACCGCGUGUGUGAAGAAGGCCUGAGGGUUGUAAAGCACUUUCAAUUGUGAAGAAAAGUUAACGGUUAAUAACCGUUAGCCUUGACGUUAACUUUAGAAGAAGCACCGGCUAACUCCGUGCCAGCAGCCGCGGUAAUACGGAGGGUGCAAGCGUUAAUCGGAAUUACUGGGCGUAAAGCGUGCGUAGGCGGUUUAUUAAGUCAGACGUGAAAGCCCCGGGCUUAACCUGGGAACUGCAUUUGAAACUGGUCAACUAGAGUAUGGUAGAGGAAAGUGGAAUUUCUGGUGUAGCGGUGAAAUGCGUAGGUAUCAGAAGGAACAUCAAUGGCGAAGGCAGCUUUCUGGACCAAUACUGACGCUGAGGUACGAAAGCGUGGGUAGCAAACAGGAUUAGAUACCCUGGUAGUCCACGCCGUAAACGAUGAUAACUAGCCGUCGGGGGGAUUUACCCUUUAGUGGCGAAGCUAACGCGUUAAGUUAUCCGCCUGGGGAGUACGGCCGCAAGGCUAAAACUCAAAGGAAUUGACGGGGACCCGCACAAGCGGUGGAGCAUGUGGUUUAAUUCGAUGCAACGCGAAGAACCUUACCUGGUCUUGACAUCCUGCGAACUUUCUAGAAAUAGAUUGGUGCCUUCGGGAACGCAGUGACAGGUGCUGCAUGGCUGUCGUCAGCUCGUGUCGUGAGAUGUUGGGUUAAGUCCCGUAACGAGCGCAACCCCUAUCCUUAUUUGCCAGCACGUCAUGGUGGGAACUAUAAGGAGACUGCCGGUGAUAAACCGGAGGAAGGCGGGGACGACGUCAAGUCAUCAUGGCCCUUACGACCAGGGCUACACACGUGCUACAAUGGGAAGGACAAAGAGCCGCGAAGCCGCGAGGUGUAGCUAAUCUCAGAAACCUUUUCGUAGUCCGGAUUGGAGUCUGCAACUCGACUCCAUGAAGUCGGAAUCGCUAGUAAUCGUAGAUCAGAAUGCUACGGUGAAUA
rnacentral:rRNA from 1 species